GGCCUUGACAUACUAAGAACUUUCCAGAGAUGGAUUGGUGCCUUCGGGAACUUAGAUACAGGUGCUGCAUGGCUGUCGUCAGCUCGUGUCGUGAGAUGUUGGGUUAAGUCCGCAACGAGCGCAACCUUUUCCUAUUUGCCAGCGGGUAAUGCCGGGAACUUUAAGGAUACUGCCAGUGACAAACUAGAGGAAGGCGGGGACGACGUCAAGUCAUCAUGGCCCUUACGGCCAGGGCUACACACGUGCUACAAUGGUCGGUACAAAGGGUUGCUACCUCGCGAGAGGAUGCUAAUCUCAAAAAGCCGAUCGUAGUCCGGAUCGCAGUCUGCAACUCGACUGCGUGAAGUCGGAAUCGCUAGUAAUCGCGGAUCAGAAUGCCGCGGUGAAUACGUUCCCGGGCCUUGUACACACCGCCCGUCACACCAUGGGAGUUUGUUGCACCAGAAGUAGGUAGUCUAACCGCAAGGAGGACGCUUACCACGGUGUGGCCGAUGACUGGGGUGAAGUCGUAACAAGGUAGGCGUAGAUGA
rnacentral:rRNA from 1 species